rnacentral:rRNA from 1 species
UACGUAGGGUGCAAGCGUUAAUCGGAAUUACUGGGCGUAAAGCGUGCGCAGGCGGUUGUGUAAGACAGAUGUGAAAUCCCCGGGCUCAACCUGGGAACUGCAUUUGUGACUGCACAGCUGGAGUGCGGCAGAGGGGGAUGGAAUUCCGCGUGUAGCAGUGAAAUGCGUAGAGAUCAGGAGGAAUACCGAUGGCGAAGGCAGGUCCCUGGGCUGACACUGACGCUCAUGCACGAAAGCGUGGGGAGCAAACAGG